AACCCGCUUUUCACACUACGGAUGCAUGUCUAUAUGCCUGCCUGAGAUUUGUUCACUCAGACGCUUCCAUCCCUCACCAGUAUACUCUACACGAGAGAGAGAGGGAGGGAGAGAGACAGAAUGGAGAAAGCCCUGACAAAAGUGGGUAGCUUAAAGGUUGUGGUUGGGAGCUCAUGGAUUACGAAGAAAGCGAAGGAGGAGUUCUCUUAUCAAACUGAAGACAUCACUACUCUGUCAAACACAGUGGAACACAAGGCAAAGUGGAUUUUCAACAAACUAAAAGGAAAGCCACU